rnacentral:rRNA from 1 species
UACCAGCUCUUCAAGUGGUCGGGAUAAUUAUUGGGCUUAAAGUGUCCGUAGCCGGUUUAGUAAGUUCCUGGUAAAAUCGGGUAGCUUAACUAUCUGCAUGCUAGGAAUACUGCUAUACUAGAGGGCGGGAGAGGUCUGAGGUACUACAGGGGUAGGGGUGAAAUCUUAUAAUCCUUGUAGGACCACCAGUGGCGAAGGCGUCAGACUGGAACGCGCCUGACGGUGAGGGACGAAAGCCAGGGGAGCGAACCGGAUUAGAUACCCGGGUAGUCCUGGCCGUAAACGAUGCAUACUAGGUGAUGGCACGGCCAUGAGCCAUGUCAGUGCCGUAGGGAAACCGUUAAGUGUGCCGCCUGGGAAGUACGGUCGCAAGGCUGAAACUUAAAGGAAUUGGCGGGGAGCACCACAACGGGUGGAGCCUGCGGUUU